GUCGAGUUGUAGCUUUUGGAAGCAGGGUAAAAGUUCUUUUGAAUAAGACAUCAAAGAGGGUGAGAAUCCCGUCAUUUUUUCUGUGAGUCGGGUUGUUUGGGAAUGCAGCCCUAAUUGGGAGGUAAAUUUCUUCCAAAGCUAAAUAUUAGUAAGAGACCGAUAGCAAACAAGUACCGUGAGGGAAAGAUGAAAAGCACUUUGAAAAGAGAGUGAAAAGUACGUGAAAUUGUUAAAAGGGAACCGGUUGGUAGCCAAGCAUUGAGGGUCAACAUCGAUUGCCAGAAAAGGUAGGGGGUCUGUUAUAGCGGUGGUGGUGAUCGAGGACUGCAGCGCGUUUUUUAAACGCAUUGUAGUUGCGUUAUGGUAGACAGCACUAAUCAGCGCUUUGGAUGUUGGCGAAAAGGCACUAAUCGACCCGUCUUGAAACACGGACCAAGGAGUCCAACAUGCAUGCGAGUAUCUGGGUAAACCCAUAUGCGCAAUGAAAGUGAAUAGAAUGUAACCGGGCAGCAUCGACCGACUUUAGAUAGCGUUGCUUGAAAAGGUUGAGUAAGAGCAUGUAUGCUGGGACCCGAAAGAUGGUGAACUAUGCCUGAAUAGGGUGAAGUCAGAGGAAACUCUGAUGGAAGCUCGUAGAGAUUCUGACGUGCAAAUCGAUCUCCAAAUUUGGGUAUAGGGGCGAAAG
rnacentral:rRNA from 1 species